UACGUAGGGGGCAAGCGUUGUCCGGAAUCAUUGGGCGUAAAGAGCGUGUAGGCGGUUUUACAGGUCCGCUGUGAAAACUCGAGGCUCAACCUCGAGCUGUCGGUGGAAACCGUAAGGCUAGAGUCCGGAAGAGGAGAGUGGAAUUCCUGGUGUAGCGGUGAAAUGCGCAGAUAUCAGGAAGAACACCCGUGGCGAAGGCGGCUCUCUGGGACGGUACUGACGCUGAGACGCGAAAGCGUGGGGAGCGAACAGG
rnacentral:rRNA from 1 species